UUUCCGUAGGUGAACCUGCGGAAGGAUCAUUAACGAAGAAGUAGUGCGGCAGUGGAGCGUGCUGGUGCGCAAGCGCCGGUGUGCGAUGCUGCGACUGCAUAUACUACUACUACACACACUGUGAACCUGGUAGCGUGACAAGUGUGCAGCGGCGGUAGUUCAGAGUGGUGACACUCUGGACAACCGCGCGCACAUACUGUAUACAUACACUGUAAGACAACUAUACCACCUAGUAAUACAUUGACAAUUAAAACAUACAACUUUUAACAAUGGAUCUCUAGGCUCCU
rnacentral:misc_RNA from 1 species